rnacentral:pre_miRNA from 1 species
ACUGUACUCCCUCCGUCCCAAAAUUCUUGUCUUAGAUUUGUCUAGAUACGGAUGUAUCUAAUACUAAAAUGUGACUUGAUACAUCUGUAUUUAGACAAAUCUAAGACAAGAAUUUUGGGACGGAGGGAGUAUAUG